rnacentral:rRNA from 1 species
AUUGAACGCUGGCGGCAGGCUUAACACAUGCAAGUCGAACGAGCGGCGGACGGGUGAGUAAUGUCUGGGAAACUGCCUGAUGGAGGGGGAUAACUACUGGAAACGGUAGCUAAUACCGCAUACCAUCGGAUGUGCCCAGAUGGGAUUAGCUAGUAGGUGGGGUAAUGGCUCACCUAGGCGACGAUCCCUAGCUGGUCUGAGAGGAUGACCAGCCACACUGGAACUGAGACACGGUCCAGACUCCUACGGGAGGCAGCAGUGGGGAAUAUUGCACAAUGGGCGCAAGCCUGAUGCAGCCAUGCCGCGUGUAUGAAGAAGGCCUUCGGGUUGUAAAGCACUGUCAUCGUGGAGGCGGUAGAUGAAGAAGAAGCCCCGGCUAACUCUGUGCCAGCAGCCGCGGUAAUAC